AUUGAACGCUGGCGGCAGGCCUAACACAUGCAAGUCGAGCGAGCGGCGGACGGUUGAGUAAUGUAUGGGGACUGCCCGAUAGAGGGGGAUAACUACUGGAAACGGUAGCUAAUACCGCAUACUAUCGGAUAACCCAUAUGGGAUUUGCUAGUAGGUGAGGUAAUGGCUCACAUAGGAGACGCUCCCUAGCUGGUCUGAGAGGAUGAUCAGCCACACUGGGACGGAGACACGGCCCAGACUCCUACGGAGGCAGCAGUGGGGAAUAUUGCACAAUGGGCGCAAGCCUGAUGCAGCCAUGCCGCGUGUAUGAAGAAGGCCCUAGGGUUGUAAAGUACUUUCAGUCGGGAGGCGGAAACGAAAGAAGAAGCACCGGCUAACUCCGUGCCAGCAGCCGCGGUAAUUG
rnacentral:rRNA from 1 species